GCGUACCUACUAGCCUACGACGGGUACGGGUUGUGAGAGCAAGAGCCCGGAGAUGGAUUCUGAGACACGAAUCCAGGCCUACGGGGUGCAGCAGGCGCGAAAACUUUACAAUGCUGGCAACAGCGAUAAGGGAACCUCGAGUGCCAGGUUACAAAUCUGGCUGUCGAGAUGCCUAAAAAGCAUUUCAUAGCAAGGGCCGGGCAAGACCGGUGCCAGCCGCCGCGGUAACACCGGCGGCUCGAGUGGUAACCGUUAUUAUUGGGUCUAAAGGGUCUGUAGCCGGCCGGAUAAGUCUCUUGAGAAAUCUGGCAGCUUAACUGUCAGGCUUUCAGGAGAUACUGUCUGGCUCGAGGCCGGGAGAGGUGAGAGGUACUUCAGGGGUAGGGGUGAAAUCUUGUAAUCCUUGAAGGACCACCAGUGGCGAAGGCGUCUCACCAGAACGGACCUGACGGCAAGGGACGAAAGCUAGGGGCACGAACCGGAUUAGAUACCCGGGUAGUCCUAGCCGUAAACGAUACUCGCUAGGUGUCGGCCACGGUGCGACCGUUGUCGGUGCCGUAGGGAAGCCGUGAAGCGAGCCACCUGGGAAGUACGGCCGCAAGGCUGAAACUUAAAGGAAUUGGCGGGGGAGCACCACAACGGGUGGAGCUUGCGGUUUAAUUGGAUUCAACGCCGGA
rnacentral:rRNA from 1 species